ACUUCUUUAGUAUAACUAGUACAAUUGACUUCCAAUCAAUUAGCUUCAGAUCUACCUGAAAAGAAGUA
rnacentral:tRNA from 1 species